GAGCGGCAGCACAGAGAAACUUGCUUUCUCGGGUGGCUGGCGAGCGGCGGACGGGUGAGUAAUAAUGCCUGGGAAAUUGCCCUGAUGUGGGGGAUAACCAUUGGAAACGAUGGCUAAUACCGCAUGAUGCCUACGGGCCAAAGAGGGGGACCUUCGGGCCUCUCGCGUCAGGAUAUGCCCAGGUGGGAUUAGCUAGUUGGUGAGGUAAGGGCUCACCAAGGCGACGAUCCCUAGCUGGUCUGAGAGGAUGAUCAGCCCGUCACAGCCCUGAGACACGGUCCAGACUCCUACGGGCCGGCGGCCAACCAGCAGUGGGGAAUAUUGCACAAUGGGCGCAAGCCUGAUGCAGCCAUGCCGCGUGUGUGAAGAAGGCCUUCGGGUUGUAAAGCACUUUCAGUUGUGAGGAAGGUGGUGUCGUUAAUAGCGGCAUCAUUUGACGUUAGCAACAGAAGAAGCACGGGCUAACUCCGUGCCAGCAGGCGCGGUAAUACGGAGGGUGCGAGCGUUAAUCGGAAUUACUGGGCGUACCGGCGGCCAACAUGCAGGUGGUUUGUUAAGUCAGAUGUGAAAGCCCGGGGCUCAACCUCGGAACUGCAUUUGAAACUGGCAGACUAGAGUACUGUAGAGCGGGGUAGAAUUUCAGGUGUAGCGGUGAAAUGCGUCCGGCGGCCAACUACCGGUGGCGAAGGCGGCCCCCUGGACAGAUACUGACACUCAGAUGCGAAAGCGUGGGGAGCAAGCAGGAUUAGAUACCCUGGUAGUCCACGCUGUAAACGAUGUCUACUUGGAGGUUGUGGCCUUGAGCCGUGGCUUGAUCGGAGCUAACGCGUUAAGUAGACCGCCUCCGGCGGCCAACAGUACGGUCGCAAGAUUAAAACUCAAAUGAAUUGACGGGGGCCCGCACAAGCGGUGGAGCAUGUGGUUUACUUCGAUGCAACGCGAAGAACCUUACCUACUCUUGACAUCCAGAGAAGCCAGCGGAGACGCAGGUGUGCCUUCGGGAACUCUGAGACAGGUGCUGCAUGGCUGUCGUCAGCUCGUGUUGUGAAAUGUUGGGUUAAGUCCCGCAACGAGCGCAACCCUUAUCCUUGUUACGCCAGCGAGUAAUGUCGGGAACUCCAGGGAGACUGCCGGUGAUAAACCGGAGGAAGGUGGGGACGACGUCAAGUCAUCAUGGCCCUUACGAGUAGGGCUACACACGUGCUACAAUGGCGCACGUCACAGCCGGCGGCCAACUUGCGAAAGUGAGCGAAUCCCAAAAAGUGCGUCGUAGUCCGGAUUGGAGUCUGCAACUCGACUCCAUGAACGUCGGAAUCGCUAGUAAUCGUGGAUCAGAAUGCCACGGUGAAUACGACUCCCGGGCCUUGUACACACCGCCCGUCACAGCCAUGGGAGUGGGUCUGCAAAAGAAUGUGGGUAGUUUAACCUUCG
rnacentral:rRNA from 1 species